UGUUACAAAAUUUUCAGAUACCGUUACGAAGAUCUUACAUAUAACUUGAUUUCUGGAGUUAUUAUCAUUUUUCGCUCCUUUCUGGUUUUACUUGUAGCUUCAAAUAUCCAUUCCACGUCUCUCGUUGUAGCUCCCUCACUUUAUGAUGUUCCGUCAUCGUCAUUUUGUACCGAGGUUCAAAGAUUUAUUGAGCAAAUCCACGGUACUACGGUCGCAUUGUCAGGUCUGAAAUUUUUCUACGUUACUAAAGAGUUGCUACUUUCAAUCUUUGGAACAAUCGUGACAUACGAAGUAGUUUUGCUGAAUUUUCGCAGAGAAAAGAAAAUUGAAUAAGCUAUCUGCAUAAAAUUAUUUACUUAGCUUUGUUUUAUUGUAUUUAUAAUGAUUGAAAGAUUUCUUACACAUGUCAUGUGUAUGUAGCUUGUGUGUCAAUGUAUGUCAAGUGAUGGUAGCUUGUGUACACACAUUUAGUGUCAGAUUUGCGAUUCAGCCAUAACAUCCUAUUGCUGGGAUUAGUUUCAUUUUUUCUCCAUGUAAGAAAAGAUUCGGAACUUAAUCCACCACGCUGCUCCACGGCGAGUUGCCGAUGUUACAUAUUGGAGCUGUUAAAAUGCACUGUUUUCAAAUUAAAUUCACGUUAAACUUAUGACUUAUAUUUGUCUUAUUAUUAUACUAAGAAGAUUAUCUAUAUAAGUAUACAUGUGUUAAUUCUCUACAAUAAAUGUUUAAACAUUAUUAGACAA
rnacentral:misc_RNA from 1 species